GCGGAGGAAAAGAAACCAACAGGGAUUGCCCUAGUAACGGCGAGUGAAGCGGCAACAGCUCAAAUUUGAAAUCUGGCUCUUUCAGGGUCCGAGUUGUAAUUUGCAGAGGGCGCUUUGGUGUUGGCAGCGGUCCAAGUUCUUUGGAACAGGACGUCACAGAGGGUGAGAAUCCCGUACGUGGUCGCUAGCCUUCGCUGUGUAAAGCCCCUUCGACGAGUCGAGUUGUUUGGGAAUGCAGCUCUAAAUGGGAGGUAAAUUUCUUCUAAAGCUAAAUACUGGCCAGAGACCGAUAGCGCACAAGUAGAGUGAUCGAAAGAUGAAAAGCACUUUGGAAAGAGAGUCAAACAGCACGUGAAAUUGUUGAAAGGGAAGCGCUUGCAGCCAGACUUGCCUGUAGUUGUUUACCUAGAUUUUUAUCUGGGGCACUCUUCUGCAGGCAGGCCAGCAUCAGUUUGGGCGGUUGGAUAAAGGUCUCUGUCACGUACCUCUCUUCGGGGAGGCCUUAUAGGGGAGACGACAUGCAACCAGCCUGGACUGAGGUCCGCGCAUCUGCUAGGAUGCUGGCGUAAUGGCUGUAAGCGGCCCGUCUUGAAACACGGACCAAGGAGUCUAACAUCUAUGCGAGUGUUUGGGUGUCAAGCCCAGACGCGUAAUGAAAGUGAACGGAGGUGGGAACCUUAGGGUGCACCAUCGACCGAUCCUGAUGUCUUCGGAUGGAUUUGAGUAAGAGCAUGGCUGUUGGGACCCGAAAGAUGGUGA
rnacentral:sRNA from 1 species